rnacentral:rRNA from 1 species
UGGGGAAUUUUGGACAAUGGGCGAAAGCCUGAUCCAGCAAUGCCGCGUGUGUGAAGAAGGCCUUCGGGUUGUAAAGCACUUUUGUCCGGAAAGAAAUCCUUGGCUCUAAUACAGUCGGGGGAUGACGGUACCGGAAGAAUAAGCACCGGCUAACUACGUGCCAGCAGCCGCGGUAAUACGUAGGGUGCAAGCGUUAAUCGGAAUUACUGGGCGUAAAGCGUGCGCAGGCGGUUUGCUAAGACCGAUGUGAAAUCCCCGGGCUCAACCUGGGAACUGCAUUGGUGACUGGCAGGCUAGAGUAUGGCAGAGGGGGGUAGAAUUCCACGUGUAGCAGUGAAAUGCGUAGAGAUGUGGAGGAAUACCGAUGGCGAAGGCAGCCCCCUGGGCCAAUACUGACGCUCAUGCACGAAAAGCGUGGGGAGCAAACAGGAUUAGAUACCCUGGUAGUCCACGCCCUAAAACGAUGUCAACUAGUUGUUGGGGAUUCAUUUCCUUAGUAACGUAGCUAACGCGUGAAGUUGACCGCCUGGGGAGUACGGUCGCAAGAUUAAAACUUAAAUGAAUUGAC